UCGGGAUAACUCCGGGAAACCGGGGCUAAUACCGGAUGGUUCCUUCCUCCGCAUGGAGGAAGGCGGAAAGACGGUUUCGGCUGUCACUUGCAGAUGGGCCCGCGGCGCAUUAGCUAGUUGGUGAGGUAACGGCCCACCAAGGCGACGAUGCGUAGCCGACCUGAGAGGGUGAUCGGCCACACUGGGACUGAGACACGGCCCAGACUCCUACGGGAGGCAGCAGUAGGGAAUCUUCCGCAAUGGACGAAAGUCUGACGGAGCAACGCCGCGUGAGCGAAGAAGGCCUUCGGGUCGUAAAGCUCUGUUGUAAGGGAAGAACAAGCAUCGGUUAACUGCCGGUGCCCUGACGGUACCUUACCAGAAAGCCACGGCUAACUACGUGCCAGCAGCCGCGGUAAUACGUAGGUGGCAAGCGUUGUCCGGAAUCAUUGGGCGUAAAGCGCGCGCAGGCGGUUUCUUAAGUCUGAUGUGAAAGCCCACGGCUCAACCGUGGAGGGUCAUUGGAAACUGGGGAACUUGAGUGCAGAAGAGGAAAGCGGAAUUCCACGUGUAGCGGUGAAAUGCGUAGAGAUGUGGAGGAACACCAGUGGCGAAGGCGGCUUUCUGGUCUGUAACUGACGCUGAGGCGCGAAAG
rnacentral:rRNA from 1 species